rnacentral:rRNA from 1 species
AUUGAACGCUGGCGGCAGGCCUAACACAUGCAAGUCGAACGGUAACAGGAAGAAGCUUGCUUCUUUGCUGACGAGUGGCGGACGGGUGAGUAAUGUCUGGGAAACUGCCUGAUGGAGGGGGAUAACUACUGGAAACGGUAGCUAAUACCGCAUAACGUCGCAAGACCAAAGAGGGGGACCUUCGGGCCUCUUGCCAUCGGAUGUGCCCAGAUGGGAUUAGCUAGUAGGUGGGGUAACGGCUCACCUAGGCGACGAUCCCUAGCUGGUCUGAGAGGAUGACCAGCCCAACUGGAACUGAGACACGGUCCAGACUCCUACGGGAGGCAGCAGUGGGGAAUAUUGCACAAUGGGCGCAAGCCUGAUGCAGCCAUGCCGCGUGUAUGAAGGAGGCCUUCGGGUUGUAAAGUACUUUCAGCGGGGAGGAAGGGAGUAAAGUUAAUACCUUUGCUCAUUGACGUUACCCGCAGAAGAAGCACCGGCUAACUCCGUG